UUUGUUAUGCUUUCCGGAUCCCUGGAACUAGAUCUUUACUAUUGUUUUGCUCCACCCUCUAUCUUGACUGAUUCUUUGAUCUUUUAACCUCUGGCCUGCUACCUGUGUAACUUCUCACUCAGUGAAAUUCAGAAUGACCCCACACACAAUACUUGUGGAAUCAAUGUCCAUGGUUUCACUUCCCCCAGGCAUGCCCAAAGUCCAGUCCAGGAGUCAAUUGCGGCCCCGGUUAAAUUUCCACCGGCCCGCCCUUCAUCCCUCACUUCUUUCUCCCUCCCUCCCUUGAUUUCUUCCUUCCUUCUUGGGGAUCCAUACCCCAGAAAAGGCAGGCUCCUCAGGAGGAGAGAGAGAGAGAUGGCAGCUUUUUGCAUCCUUUCACCCUGGGGAAAUCCCAGAUUAAGACAUGACUACUGUUUCCUCCUCUAUUUACUGGCUUCACCAUUUCACUGAAAGGGAAAAGAAAAACUCACUUUGAGUCAAGAAAGGUCCUCUAAAGAAACUGAAGACACUGGUGUUGGAAAAACCAAAACAAUUAUCUCAUCCUAGCUCAUUUUGAAUUAAUAAAGGUCUUGUAGAGAAACUGAA